AUGCCAUGUUGAGGACACUUUCGGAGUAGUCCUUUAAAUAUUUCCCAUGCCUCGAAUAAAGAUUCGCUUUCUUUUGUUUAAAAGCAGUGAUCUCCGCUUUGAGCCU